rnacentral:rRNA from 1 species
GUACGUACUAGUAUUAUUGAUUUCUCCCUUCUGAUGAAUCAUGAUGUCAUUAAUUUGAUGUCAUGGGGAAUCAGGACUGUUACUUUGAAAAAAUUAGAGUGUUUAAAGCAGGCUCGCGCUUGAAUACAUUAGCAUGGAAUAAUGAAAUAGGACGUUUGAUUCCAUUUUGUUGGUUUCUAGGAUCGACGUAAUGAUUAAUAGGGAUAGUUGGGGGCAUUAGUAUUCAAUUGUCAGAGGUGAAAUUCUUGGAUUUAUCGAAGACUAACUACUGCGAAAGCAUUUGCCAAGGAUGUUUUCAUUAAUCAAGAACGAAAGUUAGGGGAUCGAAGACGAUCAGAUACCGUCGUAGUCUUAACCAUAAACUAUGCCGACUAGGGAUCGGAUGAUGUUAAUUUUCUAAUGACUCAUUCGGUGCCUUACG